AUUAAUAAUUAAUAUAUUUAAUAAAAAUAAUUUUAAUUUAAUAAAUAUUUUAAUGGGGGUUAAAGUAUUUUUUAAAGAAAAAAUUUUUAAAUUUAUAGGUAAUUAGUAUUGUGAAAGAAUUUUGAAAUAUUAUGAAAAAUAAAAUUUUUAGAAAGUAAUUUUUAUUUAUUGUAUCUUGUGUAUCAGAGUUUAUUAAAAAUUUUUAAUUUAUAAAUUAAUUUCUCGAAUUUAAAAGAGUUAAAUAAUUAUUAAAGUUAUUGUAGCAAAAUUAUUUUAAAUAAUUAUUUAGAAAUGAAAUGUUAAUCGUUUUUAAAUAUAUCUAGUUUUUAUAGAAAAAAAUUUAAUUUUAAAUUUAAAAAUUAUUUAAUUAAUUUAUUAAUUAAAUAAUUAUUUAAAUUUUAUAAUUUAAGGGAUAAGCUUUAAAUUAAAUUUUUAUAAUAUUAAAUUUUUAUUUUGAAAAUUUUAUAAUUUAUAUUGUUAAUAAAUUUUAUUUUGUUAUAAAUAAUUUCAUUUUUUUUAAAAUUUAAAUUUUAUUUAAUUUUUUAUAUAAAAUUUAUUUAUAAUUAUAUAAAGUUAAUUAUAAUGAUAAAAUUAGUAUAUUAUUUAAUAUUAAAUUAAAAUUAAUUUUUGAUUAAUAAUUAAAUUAAUUAAAAGGAAUUCGGCAAAUAUUUAUUUUCACUUGUUUAUCAAAAACAUGUCUUUUUGUUAUUUAAUUUAAAGUCUAAUCUGCCCACUGAUUUAUAAAAAUUGAAGGGCUGCAGUAUAUUGACUGUACAAAGGUAGCAUAAUCAUUAGUCUCUUAAUUGGUGACUUGUAUGAAAGAUUGGAUGAAAAAUAUACUGUCUCUUAAUUAAUAUAUAGAAUUUAAUUUUUUAUUUAAAAAGUUAAAAUAAUUUAAAAAGACGAGAAGACCCUAUAGAGUUUAAUAAAUUAUUUUAUGAAAGUUUUAUUUAUAUUUACUAAUAAUUUUAUAAAUUUAUUUAUUUUGUUGGGGUGAUAAAAAAAUAAAUUUAACUUUUUUUAAGUAAUUUACAUGAAUAAGUGAUUAAU
rnacentral:rRNA from 1 species